rnacentral:rRNA from 1 species
GACGAACCGUGCGAACGUUAUUCGGAAUUACUGGGCUUAAAGCGCGCGUAGGCGGGUUUGCAAGUCGAUUGUGAAAGCCCUGGGCUCAACCCGGGAUGUGCAGUCGAAACUGUAAAUCUUGAGUGCCUGAGAGGAUGGCGGAAUUCCCGGUGUAGUAGUGAAAUACGUAGAUAUCGGGAAGAACACCUGAGGCGAAGGCGGCUAUCUGGCGGUGCACUGACGCUGAGGCGCGAAAGCGUGGGGAGCAAACAGG